rnacentral:tRNA from 1 species
GCCUGGAUGGCUGAGUUGGUGGAGCAUAAGACUCUUGAUCUUGGGGUUGUGGGUUCAAGUCCCACGCUGGGAU